UACGUAGGGUGCAAGCGUUGUCCGGAAUUAUUGGGCGUAAAGAGCUCGUAGGCGGUCUGUCGCGUCGGCUGUGAAAACCCGGAGCUCAACUCCGGGCCUGCAGUCGAUACGGGCAGACUGGAGUUCGGCAGGGGAGACUGGAAUUCCUGGUGUAGCGGUGAAAUGCGCAGAUAUCAGGAAGAACACCGGUGGCGAAGGCGGGUCUCUGGGCCGAUACUGACGCUGAGGAGCGAAAGCGUGGGGAGCGAACAGG
rnacentral:rRNA from 1 species